rnacentral:rRNA from 1 species
GACGAACGCUGGCGGCGUGCUUAACACAUGCAAGUCGAACGGUGAAGCGCCUUCCUUUUUGGUGGGUGUGGAUGAGUGGCGGACGGGUGAGUAACACGUGAGUAACCUGCCCCCUUCUUCUGGAUAACCGCAUGAAAGUGUGGCUAAUACGGGAUAUUCUGGGUCUGUCGCAUGAUGGGUCUGGGAAAGAUAUUGUUUCGGUGGGGGAUGGGCUCGCGGCCUAUCAGCUUGUUGGUGGGGUGAUGGCCUACCAAGGCGGUGACGGGUAGCCGGCCUGAGAGGGUGGACGGUCACACUGGGACUGAGACACGGCCCAGACUCCUACGGGAGGCAGCAGUGGGGAAUAGUGCACAAUGGGCGCAAGCCUGAUGCAGCGACGCCGCGUGAGGGAUGGAGGCCUUCGGGUUGUGAACCUCUUUCGCCAGUGAAGCAGGCCUGCCUCGUUUGUGGGUGGGUUGACGGUAGCUGGAUAAGAAGCGCCGGCUAACUACGUG